AACGAACGCUGGCGGCAGGCUUAACACAUGCAAGUCGAACGCAUCGCAAGAUGAGUGGCAGACGGGUGAGUAACGCGUGGGAACAUACCCUUUUCUACGGAAUAGCUCUGGGAAACUGGAAUUAAUACCGUAUACGCCCUACGGGGGAAAGAUUUAUCGGGGAAGGAUUGGCCCGCGUUGGAUUGGCUAGUUGGUGGGGUAAAGGCCUACCAAGGCGACGAUCCAUAGCUGGUCUGAGAGGAUGAUCAGCCACAUUGGGACUGAGACACGGCCGAAAGUCCGACGGGAUGCAGCAGUGGGGAAUAUUGGACGAUGGGCGCAAGCCUGAUCCAGCCAUGCCGCGUGAGUGAUGAAGGCAUUAGGGUUGUAAAGCUCUUUCACCGAUGAAGAUAAUGACGGUAGGCGGAGAAGAAGCCCCCGCUAACUUCGUGCCAGCAGCCGCAGUUAGAC
rnacentral:rRNA from 1 species